GUGGGGAAUAUUGGACAAUGGGGGGAACCCUGAUCCAGCCAUGCCGCGUGUGUGAAGAAGGCCUUUCGGUUGUAAAGCACUUUAAGCGAGGAGGAGGCUACCGAGAUUAAUACUCUUGGAUAGUGGACGUUACUCGCAGAAUAAGCACCGGCUAACUCUGUGCCAGCAGCCGCGGUAAUACAGAGGGUGCAAGCGUUAAUCGGAUUUACUGGGCGUAAAGCGCGCGUAGGUGGCCAAUUAAGUCAAAUGUGAAAUCCCCGAGCUUAACUUGGGAAUUGCAUUCGAUACUGGUUGGCUAGAGUAUGGGAGAGGAUGGUAGAAUUCCAGGUGUAGCGGUGAAAUGCGUAGAGAUCUGGAGGAAUACCGAUGGCGAAGGCAGCCAUCUGGCCUAAUACUGACACUGAGGUGCGAAAGCAUGGGGAGCAAACAGGAUUAGAUACCCGUGUAGUCC
rnacentral:rRNA from 1 species